rnacentral:rRNA from 1 species
GAUGAACGCUGGCGGCGUGCCUAAUACAUGCAAGUCGAGCGAACGGACGAGAAGCUUGCUUCUCUGAUGUUAGCGGCGGACGGGUGAGUAACACGUGGAUAACCUACCUAUAAGACUGGGAUAACUUCGGGAAACCGGAGCUAAUACCGGAUAAUAUUUUGAAUCGCAUGGUUCAAAAGUGAAAGACGGUCUUGCUGUCACUUAUAGAUGGAUCCGCGCUGCAUUAGCUAGUUGGUAAGGUAACGGCUACCAAGGCAACGAUGCAUAGCCGACCUGAGAGGGUGAUCGGCCACACUGGAACUGAGACACGGUCCAGACUCCUACGGGAGGCAGCAGUAGGGAAUCUUCCGCAAUGGGCGAAAGCCUGACGGAGCAACGCCGCGUGAGUGAUGAAGGUCUUCGGAUCGUAAAACUCUGUUAUUAGGGAAGAACAUAUGUGUAAGUAACUGUGCACAUCUUGACGGUACCUAAUCAGAAAGCCACGGCUAACUACGUG